GUAUGUAUGGAAUACCCAUUUGCUUUCUAUAGUCUUCAAGGUCCUUUUCCCUUACGUAAAACACCAAGCCUAAAUCUUACAUUCAGCUUUUUAGAAGGCAGAACAAGCAGCCAUUGAGCUCUUGCUGUGGGACUGACCCCGCCUUCUGCCUGAUGUCAGUGGGGAUACUGCUUACCUUCCUUCCUGCAAGGAAAUCCACACACUCUUAUUUCAUCCGGCCUGGGGAGGAGGGGAAAGAGGAAGUCACCUGUGAAAUUGUCUUUGCGCUUUGGACUCAAGCCCCCAGGACACGGUUUCCCUGUGAGGAUGCAGCAAGAAAGCACCAUCUUGGAAGCAGAGAUCCUUCACCAGGCACAGAUUCUGCUGGCACCGAGAUCUUGGACUUCCCAGCCCCCAAACUAUGAGAAAUAAAUUUCUUGUAUUUCU
rnacentral:lncRNA from 1 species